rnacentral:rRNA from 1 species
UACGUAGGGUGCAAGCGUUGUCCGGAAUUAUUGGGCGUAAAGAGCUCGUAGGCGGUUUGUCGCGUCUGCUGUGAAAACUCGGGGCUUAACUCCGGGCCUGCAGUGGGUACGGGCAGACUAGAGUGUGGUAGGGGAGAUUGGAAUUCCUGGUGUAGCGGUGGAAUGCGCAGAUAUCAGGAGGAACACCGAUGGCGAAGGCAGAUCUCUGGGCCGUAACUGACGCUGAGGAGCGAAAGCAUGGGGAGCGAACAGG